rnacentral:pre_miRNA from 1 species
AGGGCAAUAGCUGGAUCAAAUGGUGCUUCCAUUCCAAGCUUUCCAAGAAAUCUCCAUACUGCUUUCCAAAUUGGCCGCACCAGUUUGCAGUCCCACCAGCAAU